rnacentral:SRP_RNA from 1 species
GCCGGGCAUGGUGGCUCAUGCCUGUAAUCCCAGCAUUUUGGGAGGCUGAGGCAGGUGGAUUGCUUGAGCCCAGGAGUUCAAGACCAGCCUGGGUAACAUGGUAAAACCCUGUCUCUA